CUAAAGUUGUCAAGUGAUUCAAUGGAACAAGAUAACAUUGAUGAAGCCACGGAUGAUUUAGAAGAUUCAUUUGAGGAAGAUGAAGUUCUCACUAUUGCGUGAAGUUUAAUCAAGGUUGGCAGAGCAAAUCAUAUCACUAUUGGUGAGAAGGGGUUGAUGAAG